AUACGUAGGUGGCAAGCGUUGUCCGGAUUUACUGGGUGUAAAGGGCGUGUAGGCGGGUAUGUAAGUCAGAUGUGAAAUUUAUGGGCUCAACCCAUAAACUGCAUUUGAAACUGCGUAUCUUGAGUGAUGGAGAGGUAAGUGGAAUUCCUAGUGUAGCGGUGGAAUGCGUAGAUAUUAGGAGGAACACCAGUGGCGAAGGCGACUUACUGGACAUUAACUGACGCUGAGGCGCGAAAGCGUGGGGAGC
rnacentral:rRNA from 1 species